AGUGUGUGUGUUAGUGGAAGCGUCUGGAAAGGCGUGCGAUACAGGGUGACAGCCCCGUACACAAAAAUGCACAUAUUGUGAGCUCGAUGAGUAGGGCGGGACACGUGGUAUCCUGUCUGAAUAUGGGGGGACCAUCCUCCAAGGCUAAAUACUCCUGACUGACCGAUAGUGAACCAGUACCGUGAGGGAAAGGCGAAAAGAACCCCGGCGAGGGGAGUGAAAAAGAACCUGAAACCGUGUACGUACAAGCAGUGGGAGCCUCUUUAUGGGGUGACUGCGUACCUUUUGUAUAAUGGGUCAGCGACUUAUAUUCUGUAGCAAGGUUAACCGAAUAGGGGAGCCGAAGGGAAACCGAGUCUUAACUGGGCGUUAAGUUGCAGGGUAUAGACCCGAAACCCGGUGAUCUAGCCAUGGGCAGGUUGAAGGUUGGGUAACACUAACUGGAGGACCGAACCGACUAAUGUUGAAAAAUUAGCGGAUGACUUGUGGCUGGGGGUGAAAGGCCAAUCAAACCGGGAGAUAGCUGGUUCUCCCCGAAAGCUAUUUAGGUAGCGCCUCGUGAAUUCAUCUCCGGGGGUAGAGCACUGUUUCGGCAAGGGGGUCAUCCCGACUUACCAACCCGAUGCAAACUGCGAAUACCGGAGAAUGUUAUCACGGGAGACACACGGCGGGUGCUAACGUCCGUCGUGAAGAGGGAAACAACCCAGACCGCCAGCUAAGGUCCCAAAGUCAUGGUUAAGUGGGAAACGAUGUGGGAAGGCCCAGACAGCCAGGAUGUUGGCUUAGAAGCAGCCAUCAUUUAAAGAAAGCGUAAUAGCUCACUGGUCGAGUCGGCCUGCGCGGAAGAUGUAACGGGGCUAAACCAUGCACCGAAGCUGCGGCAGCGACACUAUGUGUUGUUGGGUAGGGGAGCGUUCUGUAAGCCUGUGAAGGUGGCCUGUGAGGGUUGCUGGAGGUAUCAGAAGUGCGAAUGCUGACAUAAGUAACGAUAAAGCGGGUGAAAAGCCCGCUCGCCGGAAGACCAAGGGUUCCUGUCCAACGUUAAUCGGGGCAGGGUGAGUCGACCCCUAAGGCGAGGCCGAAAGGCGUAGUCGAUGGGAAACAGGUUAAUAUUCCUGUACUUGGUGUUACUGCGAAGGGGGGACGGAGAAGGCUAUGUUGGCCGGGCGACGGUUGUCCCGGUUUAAGCGUGUAGGCUGGUUUUCCAGGCAAAUCCGGAAAACCAAGGCUGAGGCGUGAUGACGAGGCACUACGGUGCUGAAGCGACAAAUGCCCUGCUUCCAGGAAAAGCCUCUAAGCAUCAGGUAACAUCAAAUCGUACCCCAAACCGACACAGGUGGUCAGGUAGAGAAUACCAAGGCGCUUGAGAGAACUCGGGUGAAGGAACUAGGCAAAAUGGUGCCGUAACUUCGGGAGAAGGCACGCUGAUAUGUAGGUGAAGCGACUUGCUCGUGGAGCUGAAAUCAGUCGAAGAUACCAGCUGGCUGCAACUGUUUAUUAAAAACACAGCACUGUGCAAACACGAAAGUGGACGUAUACGGUGUGACGCCUGCCCGGUGCCGGAAGGUUAAUUGAUGGGGUUAGCGGUAACGCGAAGCUCUUGAUCGAAGCCCCGGUAAACGGCGGCCGUAACUAUAACGGUCCUAAGGUAGCGAAAUUCCUUGUCGGGUAAGUUCCGACCUGCACGAAUGGCGUAAUGAUGGCCAGGCUGUCUCCACCCGAGACUCAGUGAAAUUGAACUCGCUGUGAAGAUGCAGUGUACCCGCGGCAAGACGGAAAGACCCCGUGAACCUUUACUAUAGCUUGACACUGAACAUUGAGCCUUGAUGUGUAGGAUAGGUGGGAGGCUUUGAAGUGUGGACGCCAGUCUGCAUGGAGCCGACCUUGAAAUACCACCCUUUAAUGUUUGAUGUUCUAACGUUGGCCCGUAAUCCGGGUUGCGGACAGUGUCUGGUGGGUAGUUUGACUGGGGCGGUCUCCUCCUAAAGAGUAACGGAGGAGCACGAAGGUUGGCUAAUCCUGGUCGGACAUCAGGAGGUUAGUGCAAUGGCAUAAGCCAGCUUGACUGCGAGCGUGACGGCGCGAGCAGGUGCGAAAGCAGGUCAUAGUGAUCCGGUGGUUCUGAAUGGAAGGGCCAUCGCUCAACGGAUAAAAGGUACUCCGGGGAUAACAGGCUGAUACCGCCCAAGAGUUCAUAUCGACGGCGGUGUUUGGCACCUCGAUGUCGGCUCAUCACAUCCUGGGGCUGAAGUAGGUCCCAAGGGUAUGGCUGUUCGCCAUUUAAAGUGGUACGCGAGCUGGGUUUAGAACGUCGUGAGACAGUUCGGUCCCUAUCUGCCGUGGGCGCUGGAGAACUGAGGGGGGCUGCUCCUAGUACGAGAGGACCGGAGUGGACGCAUCACUGGUGUUCGGGUUGUCAUGCCAAUGGCACUGCCCGGUAGCUAAAUGCGGAAGAGA
rnacentral:rRNA from 1 species